GGUGUCACCCAAUGAGGAAUCAUUUUUAACAACAUUUAUGGAACAUUCUAAAGUUAAUGUUGAUUGUAGACCACGGAUCGUAAAGAUUUGAGGAGUCACCCAAUGAGGAAUCAUUUUUAACAACAUUUAUGGGACAAUCUAAAGUUAGUGUUGAUUGUAGACCACGGAUCAUAAAGGUUGAAACAAGAACUCCAAAAUCAUACCAAGAUCAAUUUUAUGAAACUUUCCAAACUUGAUGAAGCUGCUUGGAAUUAGACUUGAAACUGCAAGGGGGGAUUUGGAAUGGGACAAGAUCAGAUUUUGUGCUCCAAGAAUAAAUGAAGCCAUU